AUUGAACGCUGGCGGCAGGCCUAACACAUGCAAGUCGAGCGGGGUUUUCGGACCUAGCGGCGGACGGGUGAGUAAUGCGUAGGAAGCUACCCGAUAGAGGGGGAUACCAGUUGGAAACGACUGUUAAUACCGCAUAAUGUCUACGGACCAAAAUGUGGGACCUUCGGGCCACAUGCUAUCGGAUGCGCCUACGUGGGUUUAGCUAGUUGGUGAGGUAAUGGCUCACCAAGGCGACGAUCCCUAGCUGGUUUGAGAGGAUGAUCAGCCACACUGGAACUGAGACACGGUCCAGACUCCUACGGGAGGCAGCAGUGGGGAAUAUUGGACAAUGGGCGCAAGCCUGAUCCAGCCAUGCCGCGUGUGUGAAGAAGGCCUUCGGGUUGUAAAGCACUUUCAGUAGGGAGGAAGCGUUGUGUGUUAAUAGUACACAGCGUUGACGUUACCUACAGAAGAAGCACCGGCUAACUCUGUGCCAGCCGCCGCGGUAACAC
rnacentral:rRNA from 1 species